rnacentral:rRNA from 1 species
AUGUAUGACUUGACAUCUCACUCUCUCGCUGUCAUAGACGCCCCCACACGCGAUCUUAGCAUCAGCAGCGACUUCAUACUCUUAGCCAUGGAGAAUGGUGCUUUGGGAUUUGCUAGCCUGGGCUGGUCAUCGAUCCAUCUUUGGUCACAGCAGAUGGGCCCAGAAGGACUCCUGGAGUGGACGGCACCCACAAUUGUCGAGCACCGCAACCCCAAUGCACACCAAGAGAUCCCCAAUGAAGCCACAGAAAUUCUUGGUUCUUUUGAGGGUCGGGAUAUCCUCAUCGUCGACACAAACCUUGGCAUCUACAAGUUCAACCUCAAGUCCCUGGAGUACGAGAAGAUCUGGAAGAAAGAGGUGUUUUUUCGCCAUUCUUCCGUUUCCGCACUACAAUUUAUGGAAACAGGAAGAUGA